GUUUUCUUAUCAUUAAAAUCGUCUAUGAAGAUUUCAUUUCACAUAUCUGUGCAAAAUAUAAUAUUCCUUGUGAUAAAGAUGACAUAGAUCCUGUAUUUACUUUGAUGACUAGUGGCCAAAAGAAGCAAUCCUAAAGUCCAAUGAACAAAGAGACCCUGGGGGUGGAUACCCCUUCUGAGUCUUAUUUGGUGGUUCUUCCUCAUCUUUCUAACAUCUGAAUUUUGAAGUGCCUGAAAACUACUAAAUCUUUUACUCUC
rnacentral:lncRNA from 1 species